CGGCGGUAAUUCCAGCUCCAAUAGCGUAUAUUUAAGUUGUUGCAGUUAAAAAGCUGACCCAGGGAUUUCGGGUGGGGCAUGCCGGUCCGCCGAUUCGGUGUGCACUGGCAGGGCCCACCUUGUUGCCGGGGACGGGCUCCUGGGCUUCACUGUCCGGGACUGGGAGUCGGCGCUGUUACUUUGAGUAAAUUAGAGUGUUCAAAGCAGGCCUACGCUCUGAAUACAUUAGCAUGGAAUAACACGAUAGGACUCUGGCCUAUCCUGUUGGUCUGUAGGACCGGAGUAAUGAUUAAGAGGGACAGUCGGGGGCAUUCGUAUUUCAUUGUCAGAGGUGAAAUUCUUGGAUUUAUGAAAGACGAACUACUGCG
rnacentral:rRNA from 1 species